UACGUAGGGGCAAGCGUUAUCCGGAUUUACUGGGUGUAAAGGGAGCGUAGACGGCACAGCAAGUCUGAUGUGAAAACCCGCGGCUCAACUGCGGGAUUGCAUUGGAAACUGUUGAGCUUGAGUACUGGAGGGGCAGGCGGAAUUCCUGGUGUAGCGGUGGAAUGCGUAGAUAUCAGGAGGAACACCGGUGGCGAAGGCGGCCUGCUGGACAGUAACUGACGUUGAGGCUCGAAAGCGUGGGGAGCAAACAGGAUUAGAUACCCU
rnacentral:rRNA from 1 species